GCCGCGGAGCCGCGCGGCGCGGGGUCGUGUCGCGGGCACGAUGAGCUGCACCAUCGAGAAGAUCCUGACGGACGCGAAGACGCUGCUGGAGAGGCUGCGGGAACACGACGCGGCGGCGGAGUCGCUGGUGGACCAGUCGGCCGCGUUGCACCGGCGGGUGGCCGCUAUGCGGGAGGCGGGCACGUCGCUGCCCGAGCAGUAUCAAGAGGAUGCAUCCGAUAUAAAGGACAUGUCCAAAUACAAACCUCACAUUCUGCUGUCCCAAGAGAAUACACAGAUUAGAGACUUGCAGCAAGAAAACAGAGCGCUAUGGAUUUCUUUGGAAGAACACCAGGAUGCUUUGGAACUCAUCAUGAGCAAAUACCGGAAGCAGAUGUUACAGUUAAUGGUUGCGAAAAAAGCAGUGGACACCGAACCAGUCCUGAAAGCUCACCAGUCUCACUCUGCAGAAAUUGAAAGUCAGAUUGACAGAAUCUGUGAAAUGGGAGAAGUGAUGAGGAAAGCAGUUCAGGUGGAUGAUGACCAGUUUUGUAAGAUUCAGGAAAAACUAGCCCAAUUAGAGCUUGAAAAUAAGGAACUGCGAGAAUUGUUGUCCAUUAGCAGUGAGUCUCUUCAGGUUGGGGAGGAAAACUCCAUGGAUACUGCUUCCCAGGCAGGCAAAUAAUUGAACUGCUGAAUGACUGCUAGACAUUGUCCAACAGGAGCAAUCACGGAAAGAAGCUGUCGUCUUCCUAAUCAACUAUUAUCCAUUCAGUGUCUUGCCUCCAACCUGUUGAUUUAAGGGAACAAAGCAGAAUCCUUGAGUUGAGAUCUGCAACACCUGCCUCCUACAGCGCUGCAGAAGAACAGCCAAGUGAACUCGGCAACAGUGUUCAGUGUCUGGUCAGCAAAGCAAACGGUGUGAGCUGCAGUACCUCUGCCUGAAAGGGGACAGGGUGGAUCUUCACUGAAGCCAGCAGCCAACAGUCACGGGCUUGUAGCCUCUAAUUCUGGUUUUCUGUCUGCCCUAGAGCUCCUGAGAAUUCUAGUAACCUAAUAACAUCACAUUUUUGUUAAAAUUAACCUGAAUUGCCUAUAAUCUGAUCAAAUAGUGUUUAAAAAUACAUGCAAAUAUAAACUGUCAACACUUUAUGCAUCAUUUUGCACUUAAAAUAUUUUAAAGUAAUAUUUGCCACUUUAAGGGAUAAAUGUGUUUUGUAAAUACAUAAUCAAGUAUAAUAAUUCACUUAAUUUAAUAAUUAGAAUAUAACCCAUACUUGGCACUUAUCUACUUGAGCUCUUUUACUGUCUCCACUGCUCUGCCUUUUUAAUAAUUUUAUCACAUGUAAAAAGACCUAAAUAUGUAUGUGUCCCUCAAGAAAUAUUUUAAUUUUUUUUGAGCUCUAUAAAAUUAACAUCAUGAGAUGUAGUCUAUGAGGAUUUGUUUUUCACUCAGCAUUAUGAAUUUCAGAUUCAUAAUUUUGUGUAUAGCUGUCAUUCAUUUUCAUCAAUGUGCAUUUCAUCAUGUGUCUACAGUGUAUUAAAGGGUACAUAUAUAAUAAAGUAUACAU